rnacentral:rRNA from 1 species
UACGUAGGGGGCAAGCGUUGUCCGGAUUUAUUGGGCGUAAAGAGCGUGUAGGCGGUCUGGUAGGUCCGUUGUGAAAACUCGAGGCUCAACCUCGAGACGCCGAUGGAAACCAUCAGACUAGAGUCCGGAAGAGGAGAGUGGAAUUCCUGGUGUAGCGGUGAAAUGCGCAGAUAUCAGGAAGAACACCGUGGCUAAGGCGGCUCCUCUAGUACGGUACUGACGCUGAGACGCGAAGCGUGGGGAGCGAACAGG